AGAGAUGUGUGAUGACGCAUAUCAAUAAGCGGAGGAAAAGAAACUAACAAGGAUUCCCUUAGUAACGGCGAGUGAAGCGGGAAGAGCUCAAAUUUGAAAUCUUCAAGGUUCUACCUUGACGAAUUGUAGUUUAUAGAAGUGUUUUCUGUUAGUAGAGUGGCAAAAGUUCUUUGGAAUAGGACAUCAUAGAGGGUGAGAAUCCCGUAUUUGGUCAUUCUUUCUAGCUUUGUGAUACACUUUCAACGAGUCGGAUUGUUUGGGAAUGCAGUCCAAAAUGGGUGGUAAAUUUCAUCUAAAGCUAAAUAUUGGCGAGAGACCGAUAGCGAACAAGUACCGUGAGGGAAAGAUGAAAAGAACUUUGAAAAGAGAGUUAAACAGUACGUGAAAUUGUCAAAAGGGAAGCGUUUGACACCAGUGUUGUUUUUCCGAAAAUCAAUUACGAAUGUUUUGUUUUUGAGAAGUUAUGACUUCAUCGGCUUGCUUCUCUCUUUACGAAACUUUCUUAAUGCACUUUUCGGUUAACAAGUCAACAUCAAUUUCUUUUGUUGUAAAAGGGUAUGAGGAAGGUGGCUUUCUUUUCGGAGAAAGUGUUUAUAGCCUUGUACCUCUGCAAUCGGAGAGAUUGAGGUCUGCAGCGUAGAUCCUUCGGGGUUAGAUACAUUUGUGCUAAGUUAUAGCUUUUCAUAGACAACUUGUUGACUAUGUUAAGUCUUGUAGCUUACUCGCUUAUGCUAUUUUACCUACGCUUAGGAUGUUGACAGCAGUAUAGACUGU
rnacentral:rRNA from 1 species